rnacentral:rRNA from 1 species
GGGCCCGCACAAGCGGUGGAGUAUGUGGUUUAAUUCGAUGCAACGCGAAGAACCUUACCAGGGUUUGACAUCCUGCGAAUCUCUUGGAAACAGGAGAGUGCCUUCGGGAACGCAGUGACAGGUGGUGCAUGGCUGUCGUCAGCUCGUGUCGUGAGAUGUUGGGUUAAGUCCCGCAACGAGCGCAACCCUUGUCCUUAGUUGCCAGCAACUUGGUUGGGCACUCUAGGGAGACUGCCGGUGAUAAACCGGAGGAAGGCGGGGAUGACGUCAAGUCCUCAUGGCCCUUACGGGCUGGGCUACACACGUGCUACAAUGGUGGGGACAGAGAGCAGCCACUGGGCGACCAGGAGCGAAUCUACAAACCCCAUCACAGUUCGGAUCGCAGUCUGCAACUCGACUGCGUGAAGCUGGAAUCGCUAGUAAUCG